rnacentral:lncRNA from 1 species
CUCCCGUGCUUCCAGACAUGCUGAACUCCCAAAAUUUUUGUACAUUCAAAAAAGGAAUUGAUUCCGUAAAAGAUGGGAUCGACCAGUAAAUAGAAAAUUACUGAUAUUUCAUCCUUGUGUGAUUGUGUCAUAGUUCUAUAGUUGGAAUUUGGUUUAUCGUUGGAUGAACUGCAUUGCUGAUAUUGAUCCCAAGAAAAAAACAGUAGGUACAGCUAGUCCGUGAAUAGCCAGCCAUCGCACUGUAAAAAUAGGAUAGGUUCGAUCUAUGGUCAUUGAGGGCCUCCUAAAAGGAUCUACUAAAUUCAUCGAGUUGUUCUAAAGAAUCAAAACGGUCGGUUAUUAACGGAAUUCCUUGUCGGCUUUCCGUGAAAUACUCGUUUGGCCUAGGACUUCCAAACACGUCAUAAGCUAAACCCGUACUGACAAAUAACCAACCCGCAAUGAAUAGGGAAGGUAUAGUAAUGCUAGAGACAAAAACAGUCAUGGGUAGUUAUAAGGAUGGUAUCCUUCCAAAUGGGAUAAGAGAAUUCUUAUUAGUCUCUUUCUUUCUCUCAAUUGAAGAAGUAAUUGGAAAAUAAAACAGCAAGUACAAAAAUGAGUAAUAAACCCCAGUAUAGACUGGUACGAUUCAAUUCAACAUUUUGUUCAUUCGGGUUUGAUUGUGUCAUAGUUCUAUAGUUGGAAUUUGGUUUAUCGUUGGAUGAACUGCAUUGCUGAUAUUGAUCCCAAGAAAAAAACAGUAGGUACAGCUAGUCCGUGAAUAGCCAGCCAUCGCACUGUAAAAAUAGGAUAGGUUCGAUCUAUGGUCAUUGAGGGCCUCCUAAAAGGAUCUACUAAAUUCAUCGAGUUGUUCUAAAGAAUCAAAACGGUCGGUUAUUAUCGGAAUUCCUUGUCGGCUUUCCGUGAAAUACUCGUUUGGCCUAGGACUUCCAAACACGUCAUAAGCUAAACCCGUACUGACAAAUAACCAACCCGCAAUGAAUAGGGAAGGUAUAGUAAUGCUAUGAAUAACCCAGUAUCGAAUACUGGUAAUAAUAUCAGCAAAAGAACGUUCUCCCGUGCUUCCAGACAUGCUGAACUCCCAAAAUUUUUGUACAUUCAAAAAAGGAAUUGAUUCCGUAAAAGAUGGGAUCGACCAGUAAAUAGAAAAUUACUGAUAUUUCAUCCUUGUGAGAUUGUCAAUUUUGUACCAAAGGUGUAUUUUGAGUAUACCGAAUUAGUAUAGCUAUCCUUCCUAUGGCACAGCAAUCUGGUUUUGCCUGGUUCCGAAACAUAAUUACUUUUUUAUUUUUUUUGUCUAUAGGUAAGCUAUAUGUUAUUCAAGGCAUCAAUAGAAAACCCCAUUUUUGUAGGUUCUACUUACUUUUCAUUGGCUUCGGAAUAUAUAGAGUAAUUCGGAAUAGCAGCCAAAAUCUUGGGAAAAUCUAAGUUAAUGAUCAAUAGGUUUGGAUAAAUAAUUUAGGAAGGAUAUUCUCAUACUGACACAAUACAAGGACAAGUAUAUGUGAAAUCUAUCCUUUCAUAAUUCGUAAUUCAUCCUUGUAUUGUUUGUUGGAUUAGGUCUAACUUUCUUGACCAAACUGCGAGCGCGGAACUUUACGAGAUGAAAUAGGGAAAGACAGAAGAUAGAAUAGAACUUAAAAGGAUAAUUGAAGUGACUCGUCUUCGAAUCUACUUUGGUUGGAGUUCGAAAAAGGAAUAAAAAUAAAGUAAAUUCAAGGAAGAGCUUUCUUUUUUUUUUAACAGCCCCUUGGCAGGUCGUGGAAUGCUUUUGUUCUCCUCUUAUUCCAUAUGGAAUACAAUCAGUUAAAAUAAGAAGGAAUAGGGGAAUAUUCGAUCGUUCACUCCAAAACGAGGGUCCUAUUGAAAAAGAAAUUAUCCAAAAUAGAAAGAAGUUUUUUUUUCAAAUUCAAUUGUUUAUUUAUCUCUUAUUCAAAAAUUUCCCUGAAAAUUGAAUGAAAAAAUGAAAUUCAAUGGGGUUAGAUGAUCUAGUUCUUAAUAUUAUUACUUUACUCAAUUGACAAAUUCCACAACAAAUCUCUUGAUUCGGAAUUAGGGACUCAUGUAUCAUCUGAUGAAUCCACUUUCUUUUACACUUCUGUAUCUUACUCUACCUUGUUUUUUAGUAUUAUCUAAAAUAACUGAUGAAUUCUGAAUUUUCCAUAACUUAGGUAAAUGCUUUACCAACAUAUGUAGUGUAGUAAAAAAAAAAUGGAAUUUAACUCUUUC